AAUCAACGCUGGCGGCGUGCCUCAGACAUGCAAGUCAAACGCGAAAGUCCCCUUCGGGGGAUGAGUAGAGUGGCGCUCGGGUGAGUAACACGUAGGUAAUCUACCUUUGGGUAGGGAAUAACAGCCGGAAACGGCUGCUAAUACCGCAUAAUGCAGCGGCUCGACAUCGAGACAGUUGUUAAAGCGGGGGAUUCCGAAAGGAACCUCGCGCCUAAAGAGGAGCCUGCGGCAGAUAGCUAGUUGGUAAGGUAAUGGCUUACCAAGGCUUCGAUCUGUAGCCGGCCUGAGAGGGCGGUCGGCCACACUGACACUUAAAUACGGGUCAGACUCCUACGGGAGGCAGCAGUCGGGAAUCUUGCGCAAUGGGCGAAAGCCUGACGCAGCAACGCCGCGUGGAGGAUGAAGGCCC
rnacentral:rRNA from 1 species